UCACCGGGUGGAAACUGGUACG
rnacentral:miRNA from 1 species